AUUGAACGCUGGCGGCAUGCUUUACACAUGCAAGUCGAACGGUAACAGGCCGCAAGGUGCUGACGAGUGGCGAACGGGUGAGUAAUGCAUCGGAACGUGCCCAGUCGUGGGGGAUAACUACUCGAAAGAGUAGCUAAUACCGCAUACGAUCUAUGGAUGAAAGCGGGGGACCGUAAGGCCUCGCGCGAUUGGAGCGGCCGAUGUCAGAUUAGGUAGUUGGUGGGGUAAAGGCUCACCAAGCCAACGAUCUGUAGCUGGUCUGAGAGGACGACCAGCCACACUGGGACUGAGACACGGCCUAGACUCCUACGGGAGGCAGCAGUGGGGAAUUUUGGACAAUGGGCGCAAGCCUGAUCCAGCAAUGCCGCGUGCAGGAAGAAGGCCUUCGGGUUGUAAACUGCUUUUGUACGGAACGAAACGGCUCUGGUUAAUACCCGGGGCUAAUGACGGUACCGUAAGAAUAAGCACCGGCUAACUACGUG
rnacentral:rRNA from 1 species